UAUAAUCAUCUAUAACAAAUAAAAAUGAAUUGUAUUAAAUAAAAUUACAUGCACUCAAGUAGUCUGUUAAUCACUCUGAAAACUCAUAUAAUCUUUAAGCAUAAUUUUCACAAUCAUAUCGUAAAGAUAUUCCUAUAUGCUACACAUUGUUCAUACAGAAAAAAAAACUUUAAAGUAAGUCAGAAACCAACCUGUUCUGUUCAAGACUUUCACAGGCAGCUCUUUGAAGUCACUGCUUGGAAAAAUACAUUGCUUCACAGCAACUUGUUUUUUCUGUGAACUACCUCUAUCUCCUUUUCUUCUGUGAAUUCCACCAUAACAAACUUGCAAGAAGACCUGAAAACUGAAAAUUUUUGUGCUACUGUAGCCCUUUUCACAAAAAUUCUUACGAUUAAUUUCUAUCAUAAGAGAAAACGUACGAUUUUGUCGGGUUUCACAAAGAUUCAUACGAGAUUUAUAAGUGUGAAAUCCAUCGUAACUUUACGACAGCCUCUACCCUCUCUUAAGUCUAAAAUAUUUUUCGUAAGUGUAAAAUAUUUGUCGUAAGAUAGAAAUAAAUAAACAAACAUGGCUGCGUUUUUGUUGUUGUUUGAGAACGAGAGAGCUUUGCGAAGAGAGAGAGAGUUUUCCGGGACAGAGGAAACCCUAUUGACAAUUUUACGGACAUCGAGUUGAUAGCGAGGUAUCGUUUUCCAACAAUACUGUAAAUUCCUAAUUAAACGCGAGGAAUUAAUAUCCGCGUAAAAUUGCGAUAAGCCCGUCUCGCGAAUUCUAAAAUCUCGCUUAUAAUUUUGGGAGACAUGUAAAACUACAUGAAACUGUAAUGAAAUUUCGGCAUUCGCGAUUUUAUGUUAUCGCAAUUCGAUGGUAAAUCGUAUAAUCGCGGAAUUAAGUACUCGCGUAAAGUAAGGAAUCUACAGUAACUGGAUUAACUGACUUAAUCAAAGAUAAGAGUACAACAUCCCACCUCUAGAUCCCAUGCCAUCCCUGCACUUGUACAAGUAAGUUCUUCAAUUAUUUAUAAAUUUCUUAACUCUUGAAAGAGGAGAGCUAACGGUAGUCAAUCAUUUUGUACUGCUACAAUGUAUUUUUGUAAUGGUGCGUUUCGCCGCUAUUGGCGAUUCGCACCGAGACGAUUCGCCCUAUCAGCAGACCCUUCGCUUUUAUAGACACUUCGAACCUUAUAAUAUAAUCUUAUCGAUAUAUUAAGAAUAUUUCACAGGUGUAUAUCUGUUUACAUAGUUUGUAAUUGUUAAUUAGGGUCAUUAAUUAAUUAAAAAUAAUACAGAUGUCAUAGAAGAGGUAAAAAUUACUAUCAACAAAGGAUAGGUACCAUUUUUUAAAUUAAUUCAGCAUGAAUGGUCUUUACGAUUGGAUCGUCAAAUUUCAUCUCUGUGACAUUGAAGAGAGGAGGCCUAGGGGCCACAUCACUCACCUGAGCAUUAUGGCUGUGAAAAAGCAAAAAUCAAUUUAGUACAUGCAUUGAAAAGCUUAAAUGGUUACCCUAGGGGGUCACAAUUUCUACAAACUUGAAUCUAUAUUAUCUGAGAAUGCUUUCAUAUGCAUCUCAGAUCAUACAUUGCAUUGUUGUGAGAAGAUUUUUGAAGAUUUGCAUGAGUUUUAUCUUUCUAAGCCCAUUUAGGUUCUUCUUCAGAGGAAUUUUAAAUGAUGCCAUUAAUUUGUCACUAUUGCGUAAUUAUCUCCCCCUGGAGGAAGCAUGGUCCUUCAUUAAAACAAACUUGAAUCCCCUUUACCCAAGGAUCAAUUUUGUGCCAAUUUUUUUUUAAAGUGGCCUGGAAGCUCUGCAUAAGCAGAUACAAUUGUGAACAUUUUAUAAUGACAAUGACAACAGACAAAUUUCAAUCAGAAAAGCUAAAAAGUUAAUAAUUCAUUCAAGUUGAUCAUGAUUAAAUAACAACCAUUAAUACCUGAUUAUAAAAUAAAGUGAUGUUGUAAUUUUGUUAAUCAAGUGUUCAAUAAGUUCCAACACAGUUAAGAUUGAGAAUAAUCAAUAUAAUUAAAGUCAAGUAAAAACAAGUUGUACUGAAAGAAAUAAUUUCUUGCAGGUCUUUGUUACUUUGCGAUUUCUAGCAAAGGGAGAUUAUAUUUCUGAGGUCGCAGACACGCAUGGUAUUUCCUUAUCCUCUGCCUCAAGGAUCAUUCAUAUUGUGUGCUUUGUACUUUGUCUCUGUCUCGACAAUAUCAGAUUUCCAACAUCCCAGCAAGAGCUAAAGAAAGUGAAGGACGAGUUCUUCAACAUACAGGGAUUUCCAAAUGUCGUUGGAGCCAUUGAUGGCAUUUUUGUCCCCAUCCAAGGCAUGGCAGGUGAUGAGGAACCUACUUUCAUUUGCCGGAAAGGAUUCCAUGCCAUUAACAUACAGGCUGUGGCAGUAGCUAAUCCUAGUUUUACCAACAUUGUGGUAAGAUGGCCAGGAUCCACCCAUGACUCUUUCACUCUGGCUCAUUCCUUCUUGCCACAAAUCAUGAGAUGAGUGAAUGGAUGGUUCCUGGGUGAAUCUGGCUACUGUGGAAUCAUUUAAUUUCGUGGGGGCCAAUUUUCGUGGAUUGUGGGUUUUUUGCUUGUUCGUGGGGAUCUAAUUUCAUGGAUGAGUCAGUUUUCAGUUUCAGUAGUAUCCACUGAAGAAAUGGUUGCUGACACCAUUUGCCCAGCCAUCCAACCAGCAGGUGCAGCAGUACAACUCCUCCCAUUGCUCGACGAGGAAUACUGUUGAGAGAGCUUUUGGCGUUCUCAAGAGCAGAUUUAGAUGCCUUCACAAAACAGGUGGUAGCCUGCAAUUCAGGACAGAGAAGUACAUCAAAAUCAUUGAAUGCUGCUUUAAGCUUCACAACAAGGCCAUUAGUGAAAGGGUGCCCCUGCAAGCAGGGAACAAUGCUGUGCCAGUGUACCACAACCCAUCGUCGGAACCCACGGGUUUUCUAUCCGUUACACUGCUUUCAUUAACCCGUGGGGGAAUGCUCCAAAGACGCUCGUAUCUAAAAAUUAUUCCUGAGAAAAUAAACGAAAUUUAUUGGUCCCGGUGAGCUCUGCUCGGAGUGACUAGCCAAUCAGAAAACUCGUAAGAUUCGGCUUUUGCAUCGACUGUAAACAUGGCUGCUGCAGAGAGCAUUUUUAACUUCGAAGAACUGAAAGACUUUCAGAAAGCCGCGAUAGAGCAUCUUAUAAAAGGAAAUGACGUUUUCCUGAGUGUACGAACUGGCGCAGGAAAAUCCCUCUGUUAUCAGGCAUUUAAUCCAAUGUUUAAGGAGGAAAACCCACAUUGUUUGUGCACCGUCCUUGUAGUAUGUCCGUUAAUCAGCAUAAUGAAAGA